rnacentral:lncRNA from 1 species
CAGUUAAAAAAAAAAAAAAACUAGCCCAAUGUCUGUUGAUGCCCAUUAAUCACUAACACAGUGUCUGACCCCUCCAUUAAAUUUUGAUGGUAUCUCUUGGCUCCCCGUUGUCCCGUUAACCCAAUGUCUGCUGAUUCCCAAUUUCCCAAUCAGCAUUCCUCUCAGAGUAGUAUAUUUGUUACAGUUGGCGAACCUCCACUGACGCUC